rnacentral:rRNA from 1 species
GACGAACGCUGGCGGCGUGCUUAACACAUGCAAGUCGAACGGAAAGGCCCUGCUUUUGUGGGGUGCUCGAGUGGCGAACGGGUGAGUAACACGUGAGUAACCUGCCCUUGACUUUGGGAUAACUUCAGGAAACUGGGGCUAAUACCGGAUAGGAGCUCCUGCUGCAUGGUGGGAGUUGGAAAGUUUCGGCGGUUGGGGAUGGACUCGCGGCUUAUCAGCUUGUUGGUGGGGUAGUGGCUUACCAAGGCUUUGACGGGUAGCCGGCCUGAGAGGGUGACCGGCCACAUUGGGACUGAGAUACGGCCCAGACUCCUACGGGAGGCAGCAGUGGGGAAUAUUGCACAAUGGGCGGAAGCCUGAUGCAGCAACGCCGCGUGCGGGAUGACGGCCUUCGGGUUGUAAACCGCUUUCGCCUGUGACGAGGCGUGAGUGACGGUAAUGGGUAAAGAAGCACCGGCUAACUACGUG